UACGUAGGGGGCAAGCGUUGUCCGGAUUUAUUGGGCGUAAAGCGCGUGUAGGUGGCCAAGUAGGUCCGCUGUGAAAACUUGAGGCUCAACCUCAAGCUGUCGGUGGAAACCCCUUGGCUAGAGUCUGGAAGAGGAGAGUGGAAUUCCUGGUGUAGCGGUGAAAUGCGCAGAUAUCAGGAAGAACACCAAUGGCGAAGGCAGCUCUCUGGGACGGUACUGACACUGAGACGCGAAAGCGUGGGGAGCGAACAGG
rnacentral:rRNA from 1 species